AUUUGGGAAUAUUGAAUUGAGGGGAUGAAAAAAAUUUAAAAUAAAAUUGCAGUGAUUUAAGUUAUUUUUAGUUAAGUGUAGGUGAUAAUUAAGGUGUUUUAUACGUGUAGUAGUUGCUCUUAUGUUUGCAUUAGCUAAAAAAAAAUUGGAAAGAUAUAAAGACCAAAAGGAAAAGUGAGGAGACCGUAAUCUCCUUCCACCAUCACAUACAAACGUUGAUUGAGUCCAUCGGAGUGCUGGAUUCAAAGCAGUGGCAUCAACAAGGAAUUCAGGUAAUGAAGAAAAUUUUAGGUCAUUAUUCUCUCCUGGGCAAAAGUUUCUUGCAAAAUGAAGGAUGAAUGAUUUGGCGCAAAACAUUAUUAAAAUACAUUGGUGAGGAGUUAACGUCCAAAAAUUUGCAUAGGUGUUCCAAUGGCUCAAUAGACUAGAAGAUGAGAUGUUGUCUAGAAACAUCAGUAUCUUCGAUGAUCAAUCGAUACAAAUGCAGGCAUCAUUGGAAUAGAAAAAGAUUAAGCGGCAUAUCAAUUAGAACUGGAUGUUUCCGCAUCGAUGGAACACUGAUGCAAUGCAAGCGAAAUACGAAAGUUUAAGGGCAAAAAAAAAAGUCUUACUUUGGAAGGUUUUAAUCAAGAAAUUGAGAUUUGUAUAAUUGUGUAUUAUAAUUUCUACCCAAUUGUGUAUUAUUCAUUAUUGCAAAGUAUAAGUUGGGGUUGUUUCCAUUUCUCUCGACGGGGGAAGUCACUAUUAAUUGGGUUGAGGAAUUAUCCCAAAGAUCAAUCAGUUCACACAUUGAGCUUACAACUACUUUUCUUAAAUAAUUAUUCCACCUUACGCAUAUUGCACUUGAGGGAUGAGAUUAACAAUUUUCAUCAUCUAUCGACAGAAGCAAUUCAUAAAGUGUGGUUGAGAUUCAAGAAAAAGGUCUUGUUAAGUCUAAAUUAUGGGCUAUCAAAUAAAGUUUUAAUACAAAAUAUUUUGCCGUUCUUUGGAUGAGGUCAAACAACUUAGAUAUAGAUUUUAUAUGGACCUAACUUAUGCCUUAGUCACCGUCCUCAUUGGUCAAAUGAUCAAGAGAAAUAAGACAUGGAAUACUAGAGACACUGAACAACCUCUGGGUGUAGCUGCCAAGUACGACGAAUGAGAUGAGAAGAAAAGAGAAAGAAAGAGAAGAACAAAUGACAAAGUUGAUGACAAGUAGAGCUCUUGGACAAGCAUAUGUUGCGCACCGAAAUAAAGUGUUAAUGUCAUUGGGUUACACAUUGUUAUCUAAUGAAGAAGAUAUUAUUUAUGCUUCAUAUGAUGAAGAGGUAAGAUUGAUGUGUCGCAAAAUCUUGGCACAUUUGAUGCUUGAAAACUAUGAAUUAAUACUAUAAUUGAAUGUAUUUUUGUAUACUUUGAUGUGUUUGUUGAAUGUGUAGACAGAUUCUUGUUUGUGUAGAAAAAUGGAAAAAGAAGUAGAAAAUCAUAAGGAUCAAGUAAAGAUCAUGACUAUCCUCACGAACCGUGAUUCUCAUAAUAUUUUGUAGUUAUGCUUGUAAAGUUGAACCAGUGUUUGGGCCUUGGGAAGAUGGAGUGCAUGAGUAACUAAGUAAAAACCACAGAAGGCUCCACAGGGUCGUGGUCACUAUAAUGGCUCGUGGUGGUGAUCGUGAAGAUGAUCCAGUACUUAGACCUCGAGAAGCUUGAAUUGGAAGUGACCACGUGAAGAUCACAGGCACCUUUACGAACCGUGGUCAGUGCUUCGAUCUGUGAUGUUGUUUGUAGUACCCUUUCCAGUGUGAUGUCAAUGAAGACCCAACUUUGAAAAAUUCCAAAUAAAGACCACAGACACCUAGAUGCAUCGUGGUCAUGUUGUCUGUGAUGCAUGUUCCAGUGGCCAAGUAUUGAGGACCCAAUUCUGGGGAGUUCCAAGGGAAGACCAUAGAGGGCAUCACAGAUUGUGAAGCCCUUAACGGGUCGUAGAGUUGUCCGUGAAGCCCUUAACGGGUCGACAUGAGUCACCCAUGACACCUAUUUUGGAUGUGGAGUUGUUUGAUAUGUGGGGAUCGACUUCAUGGGACUAUUUGUAAGCUCCUACGGGCAAAAGUACAUAUUAGUUGUAGUGGACUAUGUGCCCAAAUGGGUUGGGUAGUUGUUUUGCCUGAGAAUGAUGGAAAGAGAUUUAUCGAUUUUCUUGAAGAAGAAUAUCUUCUCAAGGUUGUCAUACCCAGAGCUAUCAUCAGUGAUGGUGGUUCUCAUUUCUUCAAUAAGGUGUUCGGUUUUCUUCAAGCUACAUAUGGAGUUAAAUAGAAUAAGGUAGCAACAAUUUAUCACCCACAUACCAGUGGCCAAGUGGAGGUCUCCAACAGAGAAAUUAAAGUAAUUCUGGCUAAAACAAUGAAUGUCAAUAUGACAGAUUAGGCAUGGAAGUUAGAUGAUGCUCUAUGGGCAUAUCAUACAACUUUCAAGACGUCUAUUGGUAUGUCUCCAUAUCAAUUAGUGUUUGUAAAGAUAUAUCAUUUUCUGGUUGAGCUUGAUCAUAAAGCAUUAUGGGCUUUGAAGAUGUUGAACCGUAGUUGGAGUGAAAUCAUGAACCUGAGAUUAAAUCAGAUCAAUGAGAUAGAUGAGUUCUAUCUGAGAGUCUAUGAGAGGUUUGCACUGUAUAAGGAGAGGAUGAAGUUAUAUCAUGACAAACAUAUUGAGAAAAAAGAUUCAAUCCUAGUGAUUUGGUAAUUCUUUUUUAACUUCAAGCUUCAUCUGUUUUCGGGUAAAUUGAGAUCCAAAUAGUUGGACCUUUUAAAGCUACUCAAGUGUUUCAGAUGGGUGCUAUUAAUCUUGAAAAUGACAAGCGCGAGAAGUUCAGAGCCAAUGGUCAGUAAAUCAAGGCAUAUUUGGGUGUUCUAGAGGAUGUGAAAAUCGUGGAGGAAUGUAAACUUGAUGAAAUCUGAGUAAUCAAGUAACCCGCAUCACACUGCGACUUUAAAUUAUGCAACCCAAGAUGUAAUUGUAUUAGGUACUAUAGCUCCCCAAAGAAAGAACGCAGCCAAACCUACCCCCUCCUCUCAAUGCUUCUCAAUCAUAGGAUCGUGAUAACUCCAAUUCUAGUAGUUUUGAGGUGCAAAUAAAUACCACCAUUGAUGAUCACUCACCUUGGUCUACUAGAGCACAGACAAAGAGGAAAAUUCUCCAGGACACUCUUCCCUAGUCUGAAGAGGGUAGUAGUCAUUUUGUUAGCAGUGAAGAAUCAGGUAGUGAAUAUAAUGUGGGCUCAGGUAGACAGUCCACUAAUAAUUUUUGGGGCAAUGCUAAGUCUGAAAGUGGCUCUCAGGAAGAUCCAAACACCUCUCCACCUGCGGUAAAUACAAAAGCUGAAAUUAGAGUAUAAGAUGAGACAGAUGAUAUACAUGAGGACAUAGAGAUCACCAUUGAUGAUAUCAUGGUAAUAUAUGUGAACAUUCACGAACCUGAUCCCGCAGCAAGACAAUAGUUGAUUGAUUGUUACCGUUCCAUGUGGAAUGUGAAUCAGUCUAAAGAAUUUUCCAACAAUGCUAUCGUGGCCAAUAAUGGCAGCAAGAAAGCUGAUAUCAAGGCAUUCCCCGAGAUUUAUCGGACAUUAUAGUUCCAUCAGUUCGAUUGGAUGAACAAUGCAUCAAGAGGAUACUCUAACCACCUAGACAAAGAGCUUUAUUCAUCUUAUACAACUACACUAAUGAAGUUUGUUGCCAUUUUUUGAGGUCCACUCAACUCAAUUAUAGUUCGGGGAAAAUGGAUAGAUAUCUCUAAGGCUAGUAUUAACAGGAUGUUUCAUGUCCCGAAAUACUCUUUACUAGAUUCAGUUGGUAUUUUGAGGGAAAACAUAAUUACAAAAGAUUCACUAUAUUUUCCAACCAAGGUUUGGUGGAUUGUUAUCCAUGUGCAAUUGAGACCGACAACUAAUGAUAACACAUUGCCUCCUUCACUGACUUCUUUGGUAGCAUGCCUCAUGGAUGGUUACCCGGUAAAUGUGGGGCUCAUCAUAGCGUCCAAGUAGUGAGACAUGGCACUAAAUGAGAGGCUGAAUUUUCAUUUCCCAGUCUGAUAAGAAUAUUAUGUCGACAAGCAAACAUUCCCCCAAACAAGAUGGUUGACAGAUGGGGUGAAGCAUUCAGACUAACCCAGGUUUCUAAAAUCAAGGAUUUCGCUAACCAUCUUUUUGGUGCAAGUCUGGAGAUGUGGGUAUUUUGGUCACCGUUCCUCUUGUCCCAAUUGAUAUUCCACAUGAAACAGAGGGCCAGAGUAGGGGGAGUCAUCCCAAACAUCUACAGAGGCACCACCACUAUCGACUUUCGCCUCAUAUGCUCCGGGUACCUAUGUCACUAUUCCCAUGAUUUUUCUUGAGAAAUUGGUCGUAGAUCAGCACCAAACUAGGACCUUGGUAGACCAGAUUGUGAAUUAGAUGGUUUGGAGAACUUUGUUCAAGAUCAUUUCCAGGCCACAGAUGCUAAAGAGUUCAAAGAACAAAUAGCCUAGAUGCGAACUCAGGUUUCUUAACUGGAUGAAAAUCCAGUACAUGUACCCACUCCGGUCAUGCUAGAUUCUUUGAUGAAAUUGCUAAAUUAGGCACCCUCCACUUAAUUAUUUGAUGAUUUAUGGGGUAACUUACCUAAGCGUGAGUCAGACAAGAAAGAAAAAACCUAGAGAAUAUGAUGAUGAGCUAUCAGCUGACAUGUCUAGAGAAGAAAGAAAGCAACACAAGAAAGCAUGCAGGGCAUCAAAGAAGGGAGCUCGUGAAAAAAGCACUUGAACAACAACAAAGAGAUGCAAUGUUAGUUGGGGAUUCUGGUAGCAGAGCACCUAUCUCGGUGAGCUGAAGCCAACCUGAUCAUGUGCCGAAUUCUGAGAGUGCACCCCUUGAUAUGGGUGUCAAUGCUGAUUUGAGACCGACGCCUAGAGCGUCGUAGGUAUGACUCCUCUUCAUAGCCUUAUUUUGUUUUGUUUUUCUUUAUUUGACUUUGAGGGCAAAGUCCUUUUUUGGGAGGGGUGAGUAACCUGCCAUUUUAAGGUGUUAGAAUGAAUGGAGGUUGACUCUCUGUUAAUUGUGAAAAAUAGUUUUGUGUUUGUGCUGGUGAGCUGAGGUAUGCAACAACUGGUUUCUGUGUAAUAUUUACCUUGAUCUGAGAUUUGAACGUUAGGAUCUUUAUUGACAUCUAGAUACUUACUUGUUGAACACUGCCAGUUUGAUAAAUAAAUAGGUGAACCAAGAAGCUGGAGAAUGUAAUCCUGUGUCAUGUGUGUUUGUGAAUGUUGUUUGAAGUCUAACACUAGGAGCAGAAACUAGAACUUGCCCGAAUUGUCUAGCUUAAAUCUGAGAAUAACCUGAUAAGAAAGGAUCAGUAGAUCAUUUUUGUUAAGCCAUUAAAAAUCCCAAAAAAAAUAAAAUAAAACAACCAAAUUAAAGCUUAUAACUUGAAACUGAUUUGAGACUAAAAGUGAGAUUUUGUUCUUACCCAAUAAAUAUCAUAUCCUUUGGUUUUCGAAGAUACGAUGUUACAACUCAGGUCAAAAUUCUAAGUUGAGGGUGAUUGCAAUCCGAGCAGAAAAAAGAAGUGAAAAAAAGGUUCAACCAUUGAGUUGAGUGCAUACAAAAAAAAGCCAUAUAUAUAAAAAAAUUUAAAUAAAAGAAAACAAGAAGAAAAAAAUAGUUGGUAGAUAUGCUCAAAUGAAGUAAAAGAGGGAAUUGCUCAGAAAGGAGUUGUGUGCAAAUGAAACUUUGAAGAACCAAAGAACCAGUCAAUCACAAAUCCAAAUAUCAUUACCUAGUCGGAGACUAUGUUACAAACCGAUAAAGUCCAACAAUGAUCCUAUUCCGCAUGAUUGAAAUAUAGAGUACAGAAAGCAAGUGCAACCCUAGGGUUGUUUGUUGUUAGUGUUAGAAUUUCUUCGAGAGUGUGAGCGUAGUACUUAGUCCCAAUUAUCAUGAGUGAAGGAUUUCUUUGGUGUGAGGACACAAUGAUUGCAUUCGAGAGUAGAUUGUGUUAGCUGAUAAUUCAGUCAUAAGCAUGAUUAACCGUAAGUAAUGAGAAAUCGUAGAUUGAUCCUUGCAUGUUAGAUUCAUGGUUUUGGAUACAAUUUGUGUUUGAGAUGGCUAUUGUGUAGUUUCAAAGUGUUUGAAUAAUUUGAGGAUUUGAAUGUGUUGUUAUCUUAUCAUUUGAGGACAAGUAAUGGUUUUAAGUUGAGGGUGUUGAUGUGCCGCGAAAUCUUGACACAUUUGAUGCUUGAAAACUAAUACUAGAAUUGAGUGUAUUUUUUUAUACUUUGAUGUGUUUGUUGAAUGUGUAGACAGAUUCUUACUUGUGUGAAAAAAUGAAAAAAGAAGCAAAAAAUGAUGGGAAUCAAGUAAAGAUCACGGCCAACCUCAGGAACUGUGAUUCUCAUAACGCUCUGUGGUUGUGCUCAUGAAGUUGAACCAAUAUUGGGCCUUGGGAAGAUGGAGUGCACGAGCAACUAAGUGAAAACCACAGAAGGCUCCACGGAUCGUGGUAAUUAUAACAGCCUGUGGUGGUGAUCAUGAAGAUGAUCCAGUACUUAAACCUUGAGAAACAUAAAUGGAAAGUUACCAAGUGAAGAUCUCGGGCACAUUUACGAACCGUGGUAAGUGCUAUGAUAUGUGGUGUUGUCUGUAGUACCCUUUCCAGUGUGAUGGCAUUGAAGACCCGACUUUGGAAAAUUCCAAGUAAAGAGCCCAGAUGGACCGUGGUCAUGUUGUCCGUGAUGCAUGUUCUAGUGAUCAAGUAUUGAAGACCCAAUUUUGGGGAGUUCCAAGGGAAGACCAUGGAGGGCUUCACAAAUCGUGAAGCCCUUGACGGGUCGUAGAGUUGUCCAUGUUGCCUGCAUUUCAUUCCUACUCUUUCUAAAAUACUUUAUUUGAAUUAAUUAGGUCAUUUUUAUUUUUUUGUCUCUUCUUACCAUGAACGAAAAAUACUUUAUUUGAAUUAAUUAGGUCAUUUUUAUUUUUU